rnacentral:rRNA from 1 species
GACGAACGCUGGCGGCGUGCUUAACACAUGCAAGUCGAACGGAAAGGCCCUGCUUUUGUGGGGUGCUCGAGUGGCGAACGGGUGAGUAACACGUGAGUAACCUGCCCUUGACUUUGGGAUAACUUCAGGAAACUGGGGCUAAUACCGGAUAGGAGCUCCUGCUGCAUGGUGGGGGUUGGAAAGUUUCGGCGGUUGGGGAUGGACUCGCGGCUUAUCAGCUUGUUGGUGGGGUAGUGGCUUACCAAGGCUUUGACGGGUAGCCGGCCUGAGAGGGUGACCGGCCACAUUGGGACUGAGAUACGGCCCAGACUCCUACGGGAGGCAGCAGUGGGGAAUAUUGCACAAUGGGCGGAAGCCUGAUGCAGCAACGCCGCGUGCGGGAUGACGGCCUUCGGGUUGUAAGCCGCUUUCGCCUGUGACGAAGCGUGAGUGACGGUAAUGGGUAAAGAAGCACCGGCUAACUACGUGC